rnacentral:tRNA from 1 species
GGAUGGGUGGCCGAGUGGACUAAGGCGGCAGUCUUGAAAACUGCUGUGCGGGAAACCGCACCGGGGGUUCGAAUCCCUCCCCAUCCG